rnacentral:rRNA from 1 species
UACGUAGGGUGCAAGCGUUAAUCGGAAUUACUGGGCGUAAAGCGUGCGCAGGCGGUGAUGUAAGACAGAUGUGAAAUCCCCGGGCUCAACCUGGGAACUGCAGUCGAGACUGUCUAGCUAGAGUAUGGGAGAGGGAAGUGGAAUUUCAGGUGUAGCGGUGAAAUGCGUAGAUAUCUGAAGGAACAUCAGUGGCGAAAGCGACUUCCUGGACCAAUACUGACGCUCAUGUGCGAAAGCGUGGGGAGCGAACAGG